UGAAAAUUUCAUCCAGUUGAAAA
rnacentral:snRNA from 1 species